CAGUAGCCGCGGGAAUACGAAGGGGGCUAGCGUUGCUCGGACUCACUGGGCGUAAAGGGUGCGUAGGCGGGUCUUUAAGUCAGAGGUGAAAUCCUGGAGCUCAACUCCAGAACUGCCUUUGAUACUGAAAGUCUUGAGUAUGGGAGAGGUGAGUGGAACUGCGAGUGUAGAGGUGAAAUUCGUAGAUAUUCGCAAGAACACCAGUGGCGAAGGCGGCUCACUGGCCCAUAACUGACGCUGAGGCACGAAAGCAUGGGGAGCAAACAGGAUUAGAUACCCCAGUAGUCCCUGUCUCUUAUAC
rnacentral:rRNA from 1 species